AGAUUGAACGCUGGCGGCAUGCCUUACACAUGCAAGUCGAACGGCAGCAUGAUCUAGCUUGCUAGAUUGAUGGCGAGUGGCGAACGGGUGAGUAAUACAUCGGAACGUGCCCUGUAGUGGGGGAUAACUAGUCGAAAGAUUAGCUAAUACCGCAUACGACCUGAGGGUGAAAGUGGGGGACCGCAAGGCCUCAUGCUAUAGGAGCGGCCGAUGUCUGAUUAGCUAGUUGGUGAGGUAAAGGCUCACCAAGGCGACGAUCAGUAGCUGGUCUGAGAGGACGAUCAGCCACACUGGGACUGAGACACGGCCCAGCUCACGGGAGCAGCAGGUGGGAAUUUGGACAAGUGGACGAAAGCCUAGAUCCAGCAAUGCCGCGUGUGUGAAGAGGUCCGUUCGGUUAGUAAGU
rnacentral:rRNA from 1 species